rnacentral:rRNA from 1 species
UACGAAGGGGGCUAGCGUUGUUCGGAAUCACUGGGCGUAAAGGGCGCGUAGGCGGCCGAUUAAGUCGGGGGUGAAAGCCUGUGGCUCAACCCCAGAAUUGCCUUCGAUACUGAUUGGCUUGAGACCGGAAGAGGUCAGUGGAACUGCGAGUGUAGAGGUGAAAUUCGUAGAUAUUCGCAAGAACACCAGUGGCGAAGGCGGCUGACUGGUCCGGUUCUGACGCUGAGGCGCGAAAGCGUGGGGAGCAAACAGG